CUGAGUUCUUCAUACUCCCACAGCUCCCUUUCUCUUGUGCUGUCUCGAUGGGAGGGCCCCAUAAAGCCUGCUCUGGAUACUAGGCUCCACGGGGUUUCUGUGGCCCCGGACACCAUCUCUAUCAGCCUGGCAUUUUAGAAUCAGAAAAAACCUUGGAGGCCAUCCAUUCCAACCCCUCAUCCCAGCAACAGCUUGGAAAAAAGAAGAUAGUAAUUUUUAAAUUAUAUUAAUCACCCUACUUCUACCUUCAUCAAGUAGAUAAAGUAAUUGAACAAGAAGAUGGACAUUUUUAACUUUUCAAAAAAGUUCUUUCCUGUGUGCUAUCUCAUUUGAUCCUCACAUCCACCCUAUGAGAGGAGAAGCUGACAAAGGAUAAAUAAAGGCUCAAAACUGGGGAAAAGAAGACCUCUGGGAGAUAAGGAGAGGGGAAGGGAAGCAUCAGGAGCAAGGAGUGAGCAAGUGAAAAGGUUGAAUUCCUAAGAUUCACAUGCCAAUGAAAUCAGGACCACUAUUCCCACUUUUGCUUGUGUUUCCCUUUAAAAAGGAAAGUGAAGAUGCCAGGAGGGAUACGAUGAAAACCUCCAAACAGCAUGUGAAUUCCAGAGGCAGUGCGGAGCAGAGUCUCAGAGAUAUGUGAAAGAUGAGAAGGUGCCUGAAGCAUCUGGUGUGUAUUCUGAGCACCUUUCCUGGAAAUGACCCCUUAAUUCUUUUUGAGGAGAUGCUAGACAUAAGUCAAAUCUAAACUUUGUUUAAAAGAUUUUCCCCAGAGUUCUACUCUGGUUAUAA